rnacentral:rRNA from 1 species
CGAUGAUCCCAGCUUGCUGGGGGAUUAGUGGCGAACGGGUGAGUAACACGUGAGUAACCUGCCCUUAACUCUGGGAUAAGCCUGGGAAACUGGGUCUAAUACCGGAUAUGACUCCUCAUCGCAUGGUGGGGGGUGGAAAGCUUUAUUGUGGUUUUGGAUGGACUCGCGGCCUAUCAGCUUGUUGGUGAGGUAAUGGCUCACCAAGGCGACGACGGGUAGCCGGCCUGAGAGGGUGACCGGCCACACUGGGACUGAGACACGGCCCAGACUCCUACGGGAGGCAGCAGUGGGGAAUAUUGCACAAUGGGCGAAAGCCUGAUGCAGCGACGCCGCGUGAGGGAUGACGGCCUUCGGGUUGUAAACCUCUUUCAGUAGGGAAGAAGCGAAAGUGACGGUACCUGCAGAAGAAGCGCCGGCUAACUACGUGCCAGCAGCCGCGGUAAUACGUAGGGCGCAAGCGUUAUCCGGAAUUAUUGGGCGUAAAGAGCUCGUAGGCGGUUUGUCGCGUCUGCCGUGAAAGUCCGGGGCUCAACUCCGGAUCUGCGGUGGGUACGGGCAGACUAGAGUGAUGUAGGGGAGACUGGAAUUCCUGGUGUAGCGGUGAAAUGCGCAGAUAUCAGGAGGAACACCGAUGGCGAAGGCAGGUCUCUGGGCAUUAACUGACGCUGAGGAGCGAAAGCAUGGGGAGCGAACAGGAUUAGAUACCCUGGUAGUCCAUGCCGUAAACGUUGGGCACUAGGUGUGGGGGACAUUCCACGUUUUCCGCGCCGUAGCUAACGCAU